CCACAGCGGGCAGUCGACAAUUUUCUGCUUUCGCAGCUGGCCAAUUAUUAAAGUUGCAAUAUGCAAAUUCCGUUCCUAUAUACCGGGGACUGCAAUUCUUUUCGCUCGCUGGAUCUUGUUUCCUUCGGAGCCCAUAGAUUCCCUCCAUUGGACCAGUAAACUUCUUCAAAUUACAAACUCUGCAUGGGGAAGAUUGGAGGAACUUCUUGGUUAAACGUGGUGAAAAAGGCUUUCACAUCUCCUGCAAAAGACCGACACCAAGAUGAGAAGAAGAGCGGCAAAAGAAGGGAUCAGGAACAUGACCAACAAGAAGAAGAAAAGGUAAACAAUAAUAUUAGAUUAGAUCUCAUACAAGCUUGACGGAGGUCAAAGUAAAUGGUGAUUGCAGAGUUAAAAUCAAGUGCUUUUCUUAUUUUCUUGUUUCUUCUCAGAAGAGGGGAAAACGAAGAUGGAUUUUCCAGAAGCCUUGGUCUUGCGAAACAACAAUACAGCGUGAUGAAACCCAAAAAAUGAACUUGGCCUCAAAUGCAUCAGCCAAUAUGUCGGGCGCAAAUCUGGCAGGGACUUCUGCACCAGAGAUGGCC
rnacentral:lncRNA from 1 species